rnacentral:tRNA from 2 species
GCCCCUGUGGCGGAAUUGGUAGACGCGCUGGAUUCAAAAUCCAGUGUCCUUUGGACGUGCCGGUUCGAUUCCGGCUGGGGGCACCA